AAAAUGGUUCCCAUACGGACUCCACAAUACAGUCGAGGUCUACCAAGGUCUCCGCACUCGAACUCAACUCGAACACGGGGAAGACAAGGACGACGACUCCGACUUGGACUACGUCCCAGAGAUCCCGCUACCAGGACCAGCCCAAAGACUAGUAAUAACUUCAACACCGCAAGGCAGAUUCGUUCACUGGCUAGGAAUGAGACCAUCUCCUCUCACCCGCAACUACGAGUCAUGCCUCGUCGCCCAUAUAGACAUCCUCC
rnacentral:lncRNA from 1 species